GACGAACGCUGGCGGCGUGCCUAAUACAUGCAAGUCGAACGCAGUGGGGACGGGUGAGUAACACGUGGGUAACCUCCCAUCAGAGGGGAUAACACUUGGAAACAGGCGCUAAACCGAUAUUGAUGUAUGGACUCGCUGUGCAUUAGCUAUGUGGUGGGGUAACGGCUCACCAAGGCCACGAUGCAUAGCCGACCGUGGAGGGUGACCGGCCACACUGGGACUGAGACACGGCCCAGACUCCUACGGGAGGCAGCAGUGGGGAAGCUUCGGCAAUGGGCGAAAGUCUGACCGAGCAACGCCGCGUGAGUGAAGAAGGUUUUCGGAUCGUAAAACUCUGUUGUUAGAGAAGCGGUAUCUAACCAGAAAGCCACGGCUAACUACGUGCCAGCAGCCGCGGUAAUAC
rnacentral:rRNA from 1 species